UUCAAUUCAUUCAUGACAUUAUAAUAUACGACUAUCUUUCUUGGUCAGGCAAAAUUCUCCUAUCUUUGAGGACACGGCGAAUCCUCUAUUCUCUCUUCUGCACUGCCGCCUCGUAAAUCACUACUGUGAUAGUUUUUAAUUGGGCCUAGGCCCAGUGGUGUGAGCAAAGAAGAAUAGAGGGUCCCCAUGUUCUCAUAGUUGGACUGGGUUUUACAAUAAUAUGAACGGGUUUAAGGAGUGGCCACUUUAACGGUGUGUUUAAGCGCGUCCGAAGAAGAAUUUUUUAUUUUUUAUUAAAAUAGGAUUGGACAUAUCAGACACUGUGUGUUGGUCAAACGAAUAUCGUAUCCAAAAUGUAUCCAAUACACGGAUACGACAACUCAAUAAAGUGUCCAUAUUUCAUAGUUCGUCACUGUAUAGAAGGUCCAUGUUUCCUAUUUUUUCACUUUUGGCAGAAGCAGAAGCAUCAGCUACUGAGGGAUGAAAGCAUGUAUGUUUAUUUGAAGAGAAGGACAUCAAGUUACAUACGCCAUUGAGAAUCACAUGCAUCAUGCAUGGGAAUUCACCGAAAACAAGCACUACUGUAUAUAAAGACAUAAUAGGUGUCUAUAUUUCAGAUAUAAUAUUCAUAUGAAUAUAUUUUUGGAAUAUUUUUAUAAGAGUGUUAAUGUCUUUUCUAACAUGACAAAUAGUUUUAUUACCCUUCGCUUUGUAAAAUUUCUUGUCAACAGCAAAUUAAAUAAAUGACAAGGAUUAGGUGAAAUGCUUCUAAAGUUCACCAUUUUUAUAUUCUACAAAUUACAAAAUAGCUGAGGAGACGGUGCACAUGCAUGUAUGCCACUUUCAAGCAAUAACAAUUAGUUAUUGGUUUCUUAA